CUAGCUGGUAGGGUAAUGGCUUACCAGGGCGACGAUCGGUAGCUGGUCUGAGAGGACGAGCAGCCACACUGGGAUUGAGAACGGCCCAGACUCCUACGGGGGGCAGCAGUGAGGAAUUUUCGUCAAUGGGCGCAAGCCUGAACGAGCAACGCCGCGUGCAGGAAGAAGGUUUUCGGAUCGUAAACUGCUUUUCUGGGGGACGAGCAAGGACGGUACCCCAGCAACAAGCCCCGGCUAACUACGUGCCAGCAGCCGCGGUAAUACGUAGGGGGCGAGCGUUGUCCGGAGUUACUGGGCGUAAAGCGCACGCAGGCGGUCUCCUGCGUUCGGAGUGACAGUCCUCAGCUUAACUGGGGAAGCGCUUGGAAGACGGGGAGACUUGAGGGCUCAAGAGGGACACGGAAUUCCGGGUGGAGUGGUGAAAUGCGUAGAUAUCCGGAGGAACACCAAAGGCGUAGGCAGUGUCCUGGGGAGUCGCUGACGCUCAGGUGCGAAAGCCAGGGGAGCGAACGGGAUUAGAUACCCCGGUAGUCCUGGCCGUAAACGAUGACCACUAGGCGUCGGGGGUAUCGACCCCUUCGGUGCCGUCGUUAACACAGUAAGUGGUCCGCCUGGGGAGUACGGUCGCAAGAUUAAAACUCAAAGGAAUUGACG
rnacentral:rRNA from 1 species